rnacentral:sRNA from 2 species
UCCACACCUUCUCAUGAUUCCAUCUCAUAAUCACAUAUAUCUUAAUGCUCUAAUAAUUCUUUCACUCCACACUUCUUCAGAAUGCAAUCUCUGAUAUUUCUUUUACUCUGAUUCUCUUAUCUAUAAGAAUCUUCUUAUACAAUCUCUUCUUCUAAUCUUCUUUCUCUUUCUUUUCUUAAUUAAUUUAUAAACUGUUAUCAGAAUAGUGUCAAGUUUAUUGAUAGUGCUGUUGAAAUAGAUUAUAUAAACUGUAUGUAUAUAUAUAUGUAUAGAUUUAAUGUUCUGGAGAAGCACAGGCAGCAUCUGUGCUUCAGAGACUUUUCAAAGAGUAUGAAGAUGUGCUAUACUGAAGAGAUUUCUAUAUAUACAG